CCGACGUGGUCGCGUCGCUCGUGGGGCCCGAGGGGCGAAGAAGAGGAAGCGGGGAAAGGAAACUGAGGGAGGGUGAAGAUCGCAUCCCCCGCAGCGGGACCCACAGGGUGCCAGGAUGUCGGGUUUAGAGAAUCAUUUCGGCAUUUUGUUCAUAAUCGCCAAGUUCCUACCCAAGAAGCCCGAUCCCAGCUCAGCCUCUGACCCCAAAGCAGGGGUUCUUCACCCGAGGUCUCUGGAAAGAUCCGAGGGCUCCGGGAUCUUGGAUGGGAGAAAAUGUACGUCCUUAUUUUCACUAACCUGUCGUUGAAGGAAAUGCAAAAUUUCAAUUAUGAAUGUAGGCAAUAUUAAUAUUUUUGACAACUGUAUUUUAAUGCAAUUGUAAUCUUACAUAUUUCAUUUUACGUACCUAAAUACAUUAUCAUGAGAAAGGGUCCGUAGGUUUCGCCAGACUGCCAAAGGGCCUCAUGGCAUAAAAAGGUGAAGAACCCCUGUACCAAACUUACUAAGCUUACAAAGGGACGAGACCAAGGAGGAGACCAAGGGCGACCGAAGUGCCGUGGCAGGUGGCACCAGCACCUCGCUGCUCCUUGGUUAUGGGUUCAAAUCCCACCCAGCUGUCCUGGUUUUUUUGCGCUUGUGACACUAAUUUAUCUACAGCGCGUAUGUGUGUUACGCUGCUCCGUUGUAUAGAUGGGAAAAUGACAGUAAGGAGUUCGGCGCAGUGUCCGUACCGCUGUAAGUCAGCUUGGUUAAAGUGAGCCCAGCAGGGGCUCGGCACAAUGACCUCUGUUCGCCCCUCGCCGGCCGCCUCGCUUGCACGCCCUACGGGUCAGUGGCACACAGGGGCUGUCGCUCUUCCGCCUCGAAACGUUCGCCAGUCCAGCUGGCAGCGCGGCAGCUCUGCUCCUCUCUGAGCUGUAGUAUCAAACAGCCCCUGCCAGUAUUAAGAGAAAUAAAGAGAAUUUUUAUUUGUGUGCUUUGAUUUAC
rnacentral:lncRNA from 1 species